AACGAACGCUGGCGGCAUGCCUAACACAUGCAAGUCGAACGAGACCUUCGGGUCUAGUGGCGCACGGGUGCGUAACGCGUGGGAAUCUGCCCUUGGGUGCGGAAUAACAGUUAGAAAUGACUGCUAAUACCGCAUAAUGACUCCGGUCCAAAGAUUUAUCGCCCAGGGAUGAGCCCGCGUCGGAUUAGCUAGUUGGUGAGGUAAAAGCUCACCAAGGCGACGAUCCGUAGCUGUUCUGAGAGGAUGAUCAGCCACACUGGGACUGAGCCACGGCCCAGACUCCUACGGGAGGCAGCAGUGGGGAAUAUUGGACAAUGGGCGAAAGCCUGUUCCAGCAAUGCCGCGUGAGUGAUGAAGGCCUUAGGGUUGUAAAGCUCUUUUACCCAGGAUGAUAAUGACAGUACCGGGAGAAUAAGCCCCGGCUAACUCCGUGCCAGCCGCCGCUGUAAGAC
rnacentral:rRNA from 1 species